GGGUUAAUUUAUACAAUCAUCCUAAAAGUAAAUAUAACAAAAAAUUUCUAAUUGAUAAUUAGGGAUUCAAUUUGGUACGCACUUGCCUAUUUGAUACAGUCCCAAAAAAAAAAAAAUUAGAUGAAACUUACGUAUUUUGAAAAUUAAAUUUUUCUCGGAAAUAUUUUAUGUUUAGGAAUAUUAUGUAUCUUCCUGUUUAGGAUCUUCUUAUUUAAGAAAUUUGGGUUUGGUACUAAUUAUGAAUCUUUAUUUUCAAUAGGAAUCUUAUUUAUUUAAAGGUUGUUUGCAUCCAAUUUAGUGAUCAUUAGGUGCAUAGUUAUUAAACCCGGCCAAGAGAUUAACCCUGCCCGGAGAUUAACCCGGCUAAGGGACUGCUUCAAUGUGUCACUAGUUCAAUAAAUGGGUUAACAAUUCAAUCGGUUGGUCAUUAAAAAAUUAAUUAAAUAUAUAUU
rnacentral:misc_RNA from 1 species